rnacentral:lncRNA from 1 species
CAAGCAUUCUCAAAUCUUGUUCGCUCUCAGAGAAGAGAACAGUGUCAUCAGCAUACAACAGAUAGCAUAAACUCUUAACACCCACUUUCAAUCUUAAUUCAGUCACAGCAGUUUCCUUCACAUGUGCAUCCAUGUUCACACAUUAAACAGCCACAGAGACACCACACUCUCUUGUCUCAUUCCUUCCUUAAUUAUAAACCAUUUUGAAAUGCCUUAUCUCACACUCUAUUAUCAUACAUUACUCUCAUUGCCCCAAGCAGCUGUUCAUUCACAUCGUAUUUCCUCAACACUUUCUACGGGUUACUUCUGUUCACUCUGUCACAUGCCUUCUCAAGAUCUACAAAAGAUCUUCACAUGGAGACACUUCUCCAUAUUCAUAUACAUUGAGAAAAUCUAAUCUCCACUUCUUGUAUUCUUUCAUCAGUCAUUCUCGUCAUUCUCAAUUACAGUAUUAUCAAAUUAC